CACCACCUGAGUGGACUGAUCCAGCAGCUCAGGUGUUCUCAGCUAUAUACUCAGGUGUGUCCAGGUGUGUUCUGAGCUAUAUACCCAGGUGUGUCCAGGUGUGUUCUGAGCUAUAUACUCAGGUGUGUUCUGAACUAUAUACUCAGGUGUGUUCUGAACUAUAUACUCAGGUGUGUCCAGGUGUGUUCUGAACUAUAUACCCAGGUGUGUCCAGGUGUGUUGUGAGCUUUAUACCCAGGUGUGUCCAGGUGUGUUCUGAGCUAUAUACCCAGGUGUGUUCUGAGCUUUAUACCCAGGUGUGUUCUGAGCUAUAUACUCAGGUGUGUCCAGGUGUGUUCUGAGCUUUAUACCCAGGUGUGUCCAGGUGUGU